rnacentral:misc_RNA from 1 species
UGUUGGUUGGGGAAUUAUCUGGGGGAUGAUAUCUUUUAUAUUUCUUUGUGGAGCGAUGUACCUUGGACUUGUCAUUCUCUCAUGAGGUUCAUGCAAAUGAUGACAUUUAAGGACCUUACAAAUCCUGAAGAACAAAGUUAGCUGCAUUUGUUAAUCUCAUAUUCAUCUCCAUUUCUUCAAUGAUGUUGUAUAGUUUUUAGACAUCUAUUUUUGUUCCCUAUGGGCUCAUUCUUUUACACCCUUUCUUUUGUGAUGGGGCUA